ensembl:lncRNA
UUUUUAUUAAAUUUUCUAUUGAACUGAUUGGAAAGAGGUUAGCUAAGAGGUAUAACGUAGUUCAGUUGUAACUGAUCAGGUUUCAGGUUUUGUCAGGCUAUGUUUCCUUGUGAUCUUUCACCAGUUCAGAUUAUGUUUCCUGAUAAAUAUGUUGUGCAAUUUCUUGUUUGCUGUGUUUUAGCUAUUAGCCCUCUUCUCUCUCACCUAUGGGAAGCGGCUGUGCUUUUUAGUGGGGAAUUUUUAGAUGUAGAGGCAAGCAAUUUUUUCCACUGUAGGGCUGAACUGGGACCGAUCUCACUGCCACCAACAGGGCUUACUUUUGUGCCAUGGCCUUUGCAGUCUUAUGGAUUCAUUUCACACUGUUUGCUACUCCUCAGUUGCAGCAAGGAGCCUCCUGCCACCAUCCCCACCAGCAGGUAGCACAGAAGUGCCCUGCCCUGCUUUCUCCCAGUGAGAAGGGAGAUAGGGAGAUGUGAGAAGACAACUCCCUUUCUGUUCACACAUUUAUUCACAGCUACUGUUACCACAGACAUCUUCAUUUCUCAUCUUAUGAGAUUUGAAAGCUGCAAAACAAAAUUGGAAGACCUUUCUGAGGAAAACUCGUGUGAGCAACAGGACCUGAGCAGGCUUGAGGUGCCAGAAGACCAACUUUGAAAAGAAUUUCAAGCUGGAAAUGCCGUCUAGAAGGAACUGGGAGACUCACUCAAAUAAAUGACACUAUCAGAAGUAAUGACAAGACUUUUAGUUCUGGUUAAAAAUGGGUUUCGGGAAGUCAGCUGUCCAGUGAGAGCCAGCAGUGCUCUUGACCCUGCCACCUCUGGUAUAACCCUGGCUGCUCCUCCACUGCUUUUGUUAUUCCUAAUUUCUCAAAGGAGCAAUAGGCAACUUGUAAGACGAUCUGACAGCUCAAAGAUCCUUGGAAAAAGAGAAGGCAAAGGACCAUGUUCCCCAGGACUGCAGAGCAUGGCCAAGGAAUUCCAGCAGCUCCCACAGGCCUUAACUGUGGAAAAACUCUCCAUGGAACUAGACAGUGCACAAGCACAGAGGAAGAUACUGAAGAGUAUGCAAUCAAAUAAAGCAACAUUACGAUGCCUUUUAUUAGCUACAGGAGAGAUGGCUAAGGAAUCAACUACAUUAAGAUCAUGCUUAUCCCAAAUCUACGAGGUUGCAUUUGCAGUCUCUUCUUGACACUCUAUCUUGUAAAGAGCACUUGCAUUAAAUAAACCAUAUUAUGAAGUAUGAGACAAUACCAAGUAUGUUAAUUCAACUGAAAAAAAUCAAUAUGAGAACUAAACAAAAGACUGUGUUUGACUCUGCCUGUUGAUAAAACCAGCUAUUUCCUUAAUCCUUUUAGGGUGUGAAAGUUUUUUUUUUCUCUUUUUUUUCUUUUUUUUUUUCUUUCCAUCACAGGCUUUUCUCAUGUAAAUAGUCUUGUAGAAAAAAUAAAUUGAAGCUGAAAUCAGGUAGACAUAUUCUCAACUCUGAUGAUGCAGAAAUUACCGUGAAUGUUUUCAAAGGUCUGCUAAACCAUGCAAAGGCUGUUUUGAUAUUUUGAUUAUAUGUUCAUCUGAUCUGGUAAUAAUAUAAUGAAAACAGUGUUUAAUGAUGCAUUUGUAACUUGAACACUUCAUAAUCAAAACAGGUCAGUGGGGUAUAGGACUAGAUGCUCAGCCAUUUGUGAGAGAUGCCACAACCUAUACUGUAAUUUACAAUACAUCUGCCUUUGUACAGAGUGUGAGAAAAUCAGGGAGGCAGAUUUUUGGCACAUUUUGCCUAGUAAGCAUGGCACUGUAUAUGUAAAAAUAAUUGGGUGUGGAGGAAAAAGUAUUAUUUACUUUAUUCCAGAGAACUAAAUAAAAGAUAUUGUUCUGAGUGGGCAAAAUGAAAGAUGUGUCAUAUACACAUACAGAUGGUGCUGGAUAUGUUACUGUCAGUCUGCUCACUGAUGCCCUCCCAGAUGUCAGUGGGGAUCUCUGCUGUUUUCUUAACCUGUGAGGCUGGGAAGUAUCAGCUGCUCUUACAUUCAUUUUCAGCCCCAGCCUUUGUUCACAGUGACUUCCUCAGGAGCCUGCAGAUAGUGGACAGGGGAAGCAGCAGGGAAACAUAGCAGGCAUUUUCCCAGUUUGGUCUUUGUCUUGUCCUCUUCUCCUAAACUUAAUGCCAUUUGGAAGGAGGCAGCUUGCAGACCCUCCAGCAAGUCCCUCAGCCAAUAAGAAGCAGAUAAAGCCGGUGGAAGGACAAGCAGCCUAUUCUAUGAAAAGAAGAGGGCAGAGCAGAGCUGACAAUUCAGCAGGAUGCUGAUAGCCGUGCUGGGGAAGAGAAGUACUGUGAGAUAUUUACUUUUCCCUAGGAAAUGGCCGUAAUAUCUGGUGACUCUGAGAGCAGCUGCCUCUGUGCAACGCUGACAACCCAGAGUAGCCAGGGCACACCAUCUCUGUGCACGUCUGCUGGAGCCCCUUAGCUUCCUCUAACCUUCUGUAAUGUUUGCAACUGCUGCCACCACUGCUUAUUUUGAUCAAAUACAAGGUAUACAGGCGAGAAAAGGUGAGGGACAGCAGGCAGGUGAAGAGGUUAUGAUACAAUAUAUGCAGAAACAGGCCACAGUUUUCACUGUUGAAGCAGAAAAACAUGGAGCACAAACAUUUUUUUGGUCCCUUAGCUGAAGGAAGAACACGUCAGUGUUGACUUGUGACUGUGUUGUGAGGUUGAAGGAGAAACUAGCUCACAAAAUGCCCUUCUGGACUUAACAUGUCCUACUGCUACCAUUUUUUCAAUGUCUCAUUUCUAAAUGUACCAUCUUCAUUUCCACCAGACGCAUGUUGGUCAAUAAUACAUAGAAUUGUCUGCCUUUGGAUGCUAAGGCUAUGUCUACAGAAGAUUAGGAUGACUUUGGAUUUCUGUAUAACAGCUGUCUUAUAUCUUGCUUUUGCAAUGCUCCUUAAUGAAAUUUCUGGAGUGACAUGACUCAGCAAAUACUGAUUUUUUUUUUUAAUUAUUAUUUUUAAAUUAUGUUCACAAAUAAAUACAGCAAUAUCAAGUUUCACUAGGGAGUGAACUUUCCACUAAAUUGGUAACACAGCAGUUUUGAUACUAGAUUCACUUUCGAGUUAAAACUUUAUAGAAGAAUAUGAGAAAAAACAAGGUGAUGCUGUGAGACAGACUGAGCCAGGUUUCCAAAAUAAUCCUACUUGUUAAAUAUUCCCCCAUAAUUCUAUCCUUAAGGUCAAGGUUUGCUUUUUUUAACAGAAUUUAUUUGCAGUCAGGAGGUUUCUGUAUAAUGUCAAAGUGCCUACUUGAUUAAUGACUGCAGAAGAGUUGGCUUAAAGCGUCACUAGGUAACAAUGAAUUUCAUUUGUUUGCAGGUAAAUGUCACAUUUAGUCUUAAUUAAACAGUAAAUGAGUAACUGCUAAUUCCCCUACUUUCCAAUUCUUUUUCAGUUCUCUGCAAGCCUGAUGUUUAGCUGAUGUGGAUAUUCUAGAUCUUCAAAAUGUUUUAUGAUAAACUAAUUGAAUCACAAAAUUAUAGGAAACUUUAUGAGUAUACUCCUAAGUAAUCCUUGAAUCUGUGCAAGCACUGCUCAGCAACAGCUGAAACACUGGUGUGUUGUCAACAUUAUUCUCAUCAUAAAUUCAAAACAUAGCAGCAUAGCAGCUAGGAAGAAGAAAAUUAACUCUAUUCCAGUCAAAACAAGGACAGUUAGGCAUCCCAAUGUAAGAUUAAUAUGGAAAAUAAAGCCCAAGUUUAAACCUGAACACAAGUGCUUCAGCUUUUAGCAAGCAAGUCCUUGGUAUACAGUCUAAGGUCCCCAAUGCAACACCUGCCUUUUGUAGCAAAAAUGAGUCACCUCAGGAUAGCAAUAGAAGAACCUGUGCACUGAGUAUGGAACUGCCUACACCUGGCCUGCAGGAAAGGCUAAGAAUUGGAGUCUGCUGGAUCAUCCUGCCGUGCUGGUGUUCAGCAGCAGGCUCUGGGACUGAAACUGGAUGUAGAGUCCAUGAUCUUCCUUCCUGUGGGAUGUUUUAGGAAAUGUCAACAGCUAUUCUACGUAAACACUAAAACAGACAGUACUCAUCUUUUCUAAAACAGGAGCCUAUGUAUAUCCAUCCUGCUGGUGUACCCAGAGGACUCAACCCUGCUUUACAGUGCAUGAGAAGGAUGUCCCAACAGCAGUCUGUGAAGCUGUCUUGGCCAUGGCAUUUGUCCUUUUCCUUUUAAAUAGAGGACUAUAAUUAGAAUCUGGUGCUGAUUUCAAGUACCACAUAUGCAUUGCAGCUGCUGUCCUAUGCAUGUAAAUUCAUCAUCUAGGGCAACCCUAUUUCAUAUAAGUGCCUCAGGCUUGAAUUACCUUUUUGACUUCUUUAUUCUGUGACAUAUUAUCUUUAGCUCUUAAUGAUUGAGCGUAUUGCCUCUAGGGACAAUAUUCUCAGAUACUGUCCUUGCAUUUUGGCUCCAUGCAAGAUAACUCACACUGCUCUGGAGUCCAACUGGGGAAUAGGAGGCAAUUGUUUAAUAUUGUUUGUGAAAUCAAAAUAUCUGUUUAUUUUUCGCUGAUGAUGCCAAAUUUGAGACAAAUUCACUAAUAAUUAUGCUCUGCCUAAAUCAGCACAUUUUCAUCUGUAAAAAGUUUUUUGGACCAAUGUCUACUAUUUUUGUUGUUUUUUAAUUGACAACCCCCUGGAAAAUAAUAUGAUGGGCUCUGAAGUAUGAUACCUACAGCCUAGAGUAAAUAAAACCCACCAGAGGAACAGCAUCAACUGGCACACAUCUUCUACAGAGAUGAGAUUCACCAACAUCGAGGGGCAGUCUGAAGGACUUUGCAUAGAAGCUACCUCUCUUGCCACCCUUCUAGAAUGCAGUAACAGAGAGAAGGAAGUUCCCUCUUUCAUUUAUAUCUGCACCUUCUCUCAUUCUCUCAUUACACAUUUCUCACUCUGCAGCAUACAUACCUAGAUUCUUCCAAAGAAACCUCCAGAUUUAUUAUUUCUUCAUCAAUAAUUGAACAAUCUCUUCCAUUUUAUUCUUAAGUUCCCUCGAAUCCUUUAACUAAAUUGUUAACUGAAUCAUGGUGGCUGAAUUUUACUACCACAACACAAAUUUUAGGAUAACAAUCUUCUGGUCUUUUGAGAGGGAUGCUUGCCUGGUGAAGUCACUUGGGAGCACAGCCAGAACAAGGAACAAGAGCAGCUUUUGCAAAUGUGUCCUCUCUUGUGAAAUAUACUUGUCUGCCCAUCAGGUCCAGUUCUGCUACAGCACAUGGAGCUUCAAUUCCUGGCUGGGAGCACUUUGGGAAACCACUGGCUACCAAAACUUGCUUUAGUAAACUGAAGACAGCCCAUUAGGGAUGGAGACUUUUAGCUAGUACAAAGCAUUCAAUGGCUCCAUAUGUUAUUGCCUUCUCUCAAAAUCUGGCAGAGUCUUUUCUAAUUUCAAGGAAUAAAAAAAAAAAAAAAACCACACAAAAAAAACCUGAACAAAACUCAUAGACUUCUAGACUCACGGAACAGUAAGAAUAUUACAUGGAAAAGGAAAAGUUAUCAGAUAGAAAAAAAAUCUAGGUAUCUUGCCACUGGUGAGUUCCCUCUCCCUCCUUGCCCUCUGCUCCCCACACACAAACACCCUUCUCACUGCUUUCCCCAGGGGGGAAUGUAUCUUGCAACACUUCCUUGCUGUGGUGAGCUCUUACUGACACAAAGAUUCUCACUAACAUCUUACAGAGAAAUUUUGCACAACCAGGGAAGCAGAAGAGAAAAAUCAGCUGAGCUAACAAAUAUUUGGGAUGACUGCAUUUCUCUGCUCUGAGCAUAUGCAUACUCCACUUGCCAGCUGGCCCAUGUUCACCCCAUUUCCUAACAGUUUUCUGAACAGAAGUUCAAUGACUCUCUAUACUAUACUGUCCACAGGUGAACACAUAAGGUGAAGUGCCACCUGACAGGAAUGCCACCUUCAUGAUGAGAAUCACUAGAUCACCUGUGGAAUAUGAGUUUAAAGCUUUGGGCGUUGUGACCUGGACAGCUGACAAGGGACAUAGACAGACAGAAAGAAAUGUCCAUUUUUCCUUCUGAUCCAUGCAGCCCUGUGCUGUAGUAAAGUUGUGCAGUGAUUGAAGGACCAGAUGAGAUCUGUAAUUCAUGUUCUGCACAUUGGUAAAGAAUUUAAGGAAGUUUUCUUGGUUAAAAACAACAACAACAAACAAAACAAAGAAAACAAACAAACAAACAAACAAACAAACCCAAACAAAUGAAAUCAUUAAGGAUGUAUGUCAUGAUUUUCUUGUCAUUGUUAACUACUGUUCAGAAACAUGGAAAAUGCCAAAUAGAUUGAACAGUGUACUAACCUGAUAGACCUCCAGAAAUUCAAAGAAUUAUAAGUACAUUGGAGACUACUGAUAAAAAUCUAAUCUCUUCCCCUCCCUCCUUUUUUUUUCCUUAUUAUUCACUUUAUUCAGCCAAGCACUAACUUUCUUACAUAAUGGUAUAUACAUAUGCUCAAUUUUCUGGGCAUAACAUUUUCCCAAGGGUGCCCUGUUUAAGGCUGAGCUGUUUAAUCAAUAGACUUCCCCACACUAUUUCUCAAAAAUAGAGAUUUACUGAAGUUUACUUACAAGAAAGAUAAUGCAAAGAAAUCUUGUAGUCUGAAGCACUUAGUUUCCUACAGACAAAUGAUUUAGUGAAGGAUUUUUUUGUUGUUAUGAAGGAAGUUGGAAACAUUCACAUGCUCUCCUCAGAUGUAUAAUAACUAUCUCUUGCCAGAGAGUUUUGGCUGUGUAGCUUAUGAGAACCUACAGUGGGAUUUCCAGAGGUUUAAAUAAUUAGUUUUCCCCAAUAAGGUCAACAAAGUCUUUCCCAAAUUCUCUGAAUUCUGCUGAGAAGUGAAAGUUAUGUACCAGUCCCCUCAUACCCAAUCCCCUAAAGAUUUUUUAUAUUUCCUGUACUUAACUGGCCUGAAAAUACUGUCAUUACAGAUCCCAUCAGAGUAUUCAACCACAUCUGUGCCCUUCUCUUUCUGAAACAAGGAAAAGUAGGAUAGAAUAUUGAGAAUUUCCUCAUUUUUAGGAUGAUUUACUAUGACACCUGCAUUCUUGAAAGAAUAGAUUUGGCUCAGACUCAUGUAAAAGACUGGGCUGAAUUUCAGAAAGCUCUUAGACAAAGCUGUGGUCCUUCUUGUCCAUUUUCAGAUAAUUAAAGGUAACUCAGGCCAGGCAGAGAGUGGAGUAUGCUGCCCAGGAACAGAUAUGGUCUGUGAUCGUUGUCACUACCAACACACAGUCCAGAGCAGCGUCCUCUUCUUGAGCUGGGAAACUCCACAGUAUGGGAACUUUUCUCCUGAGAGCACAGCAGACAGGACAACCAAUUCCUAAGGGCCUACAAUCCAUUCUGGAGAAGCAAAUAAUGAAAUAACCUAACAUGACAAACCCAUGGCCUACUCCAGUUCACUGACAUUACAAGGGUAAAUAGCAGAAGUGGAGAGAAAACACAGUUUUUCAGUGGGAAAGAAACAAAAACACGUGUG